CUUCAUUCCAGUGGCUGCUGCGGGCUGGAACGUACAUGUGUUGUGGAGCAUAUAUGACAUUCAGGCAAAACAAACACUCAGCUUGAAAUAAGCAGCAGGCCUCCUCAAUAGGAACCUCUUACCUGGCUUGUGUAAGACUGAUGGUAUCAGACGCACAGGUGUGCAGGUCUUCACACAAUGCCACGAAUAUUACAGCAAAGAUCUAGAAUAUCACUUCUACAAUUCAGACUGGGAUGUGAACUCAAGGUCAUCAGCAGGGCUGGCGUAUGGGCAGCCAGAUAGAUACUAGAGACCUGUGUGAGACAACUAGGGAAGAGUUACCCAUCAUAGAAUUUGGCCUUCCUCAGAAUACCGCUGGGUGUUAAGGUUUGGUAAUCAUGGAUAAAGUGCUUUGAAACUGAAUUAAAAAUACAGCAGU